rnacentral:tRNA from 1 species
GGAAGAGUGGCCGAGCGGUUUAAGGCACCGGUCUUGAAAACCGGCGACGGUGCAAGCUGUCCGUGGGUUCGAAUCCCACCUCUUCCGCCA